rnacentral:lncRNA from 1 species
UGCUUAAUGGAUUCUUACCCAAAUGUCUCUGUCUCCUCCACAGUCACAUAAGAAGCUGAAGGGCUGAAAGCAGGGUGUUUGAAGGCAUCUGAAUGGGAAGCUCAGAAUUGUUUUGCUUAGUUUUAGACACCCAGAGCUAUCAGGUGGCUGAUCUCUCCGGGUUUCCUCUCCUCCAGAAGGAAUGCUCAAGUGCUGCCAGCUUGCAGAGACAAUAUUACAAGAUCCUAUGAACUUGCUAGACCCACCCAAAUGCUCUGGGGUUGUCUCCUGCCUGAUGGGCUGCCACCAAGGCUCUAAAACCCUCGCACACAAAGGCACCACGGGACUCCCACCCUCGACGUGAGUGCUCUGCCUGCCUCUGGCGCUGCCUGUCAGACCCACUUCAGCUGGAAUCAAGUAGGUACACGCUAGCAGCAGACGAAUGCAGAGCUUGUGGUGUUAUUCUGCUUCAUAAACCUGUGUCCUUGAAGUCUCCUGCAUCCCUGCCCUGUCAGACUGGUAAAGUCGUGCUGCUUUUAUGUAUUCUUGGUGGGAGUGGUCAAUACUGAAUUGAAUAAUUCCCUUUUGAAUUAUAUUUUUAACAAAACAAUUCUUGAAAAGGUCUGCUGGGUUUCAGAU